GAUGAACGCUGGCGGCGUGCCUAACACAUGCAAGUCGAGCGAAGCACUCUACUCGAUUUCUUCGGGAUGAAGGUUUAGUGACUGAGCGGGCGACGGGUGAGUACGCGUGGUAACCUGCCUCAUACAGGGGGAUAACAGUUAGAAAUGACUGCUAAUACCGCAUAAGACCACAGCACCGCAUGGUGCAGGGGUAAAACUCCGGUGGUAUGAGAUGGAUCCGCGUCUGAUUAGCUAGUUGGUAAGGUAACGGCUUACCAAGGCAACGAUCAGUAGCCGACCUGAGAGGGUGACCGGCCACAUUGGGACUGAGACACGGCCCAA
rnacentral:rRNA from 1 species